rnacentral:rRNA from 1 species
UACAGAGGUGGCAAGCGUUGUUCGGAAUUACUGGGCGUAAAGGGCGCGUAGGCGGUCUUUUAAGUCUUGUGUGAAAUCCCUCGGCUCAACUGAGGAAGUGCGCCCGAAACUGCAGAGCUUGAGUACCGGAGAGGGUGGCGGAAUUCCCCAAGUAGAGGUGAAAUUCGUAGAUAUGGGGAGGAACACCGGUGGCGAAGGCGGCCACCUGGACGGUCACUGACGCUGAGACGCGAAAGCGUGGGGAGCAAACAGG